GACGAACCGUACGAACGUUAUUCGGAAUUACUGGGCUUAAAGGGUGCGUAGGCUGCGCAGUAAGUUGGGUGUGAAAUCCCUCGGCUUAACCGAGGAACUGCGCCCAAAACUACUGUGCUCGAGGGAGACAGAGGUGAGCGGAACUUAGGGUGGAGCGGUGAAAUGCGUUGAUAUCCUAAGGAACACCUGUGGCGAAAGCGGCUCACUGGACCAUAACUGACGCUGAUGCACGAAAGCUAGGGGAGCAAACAGG
rnacentral:rRNA from 1 species